rnacentral:rRNA from 1 species
GGUUAAGCGACUAAGCGUACACGGUGGAUGCCCUGGCAGUCAGAGGCGAUGAAGGACGUGCUAAUCUGCGAUAAGCGCCGGUAAGGUGAUAUGAACCGUUAUAACCGGCGAUUUCCGAAUGGGGAAACCCAGUGUGAUUCGUCACACUAUCAUUAACUGAAUCCAUAGGUUAAUGAGGCGAACCGGGGGAACUGAAACAUCUAAGUACCCCGAGGAAAAGAAAUCAACCGAGAUUCCCCCAGUAGCGGCGAGCGAACGGGGAGGAGCCCAGAGCCUGAAUCAGCAUGUGUGUUAGUGGAAGCGUCUGGAAAGGUGCGCGAUACAGGGUGACAGCCCCGUACACAAAAGCGCAUGUGCUGUGAGCUCGAUGAGUAGGGCGGGACACGUGGUAUCCUGUCUGAAUAUGGGGGGACCAUCCUCCAAGGCUAAAUACUCCUGACUGACCGAUAGUGAACCAGUACCGUGAGGGAAAGGCGAAAAGAACCCCGGCGAGGGGAGUGAAAAAGAACCUGAAACCGUGUACGUACAAGCAGUGGGAGCACAGGUUUACCUGUGUGACUGCGUACCUUUUGUAUAAUGGGUCAGCGACUUAUAUUCUGUAGCAAGGUUAACCGAAUAGGGGAGCCGGAGGGAAACCGAGUCUUAAUUGGGCGUUAAGUUGCAGG